AACGCGAAGAACCUUACCUGGCCUUGACAUGCAAGUGGUAGAACCAUGAAAGUGGGACGACCCCGCAAGGGGAGCUUGCACAGGUGCUGCAUGGCUGUCGUCAGCUCGUGUCGUGAGAUGUUGGGUUAAGUCCCGCAACGAGCGCAACCCUUAUUACCAGUUACCAUCAUUUAGUUGGGGACUCUGGUGAGACCGCCUCGGAUAACGGGGAGGAAGGCGGGGAUGACGUCAAGUCCUCAUGGCCUUUAUGUCCAGGGCUACACACGUGCUACAAUGGCCGGUACAAACCGCAGCAAACCCGCGAGGGGGAGCUAAUCGGAAAAAGCCGUCCUCAGUUCGGAUUGCAGUCUGCAACUCGACUGCAUGAAGCUGGAAUCGCUAGUAAUCGCGGAUCAGAACGCCGCGGUGAAUACGUUCCCGGGCCUUGUACACACCGGCUAC
rnacentral:rRNA from 1 species